rnacentral:rRNA from 1 species
GACGAACGCUGGCGGCGCGCUUAACACAUGCAAGUCGAGCGAGAACCGGGGCUUCGGCCCUGGGGACAGCGGCGAACGGGUGAGUAACACGUGGGUAAUCUGCCCUCGGCAUCGGGAUAGCCCGGGGAAACCCGGAUUAAUACCGAAUAGCCUCCGGAGCCUUCGGGCGCCGGAGAAAAGGUAGCUUCGGCCUCUGGCCGAGGAUGAGCCCGCGGCGGAUUAGCUUGUUGGCGGGUAACGGCCCACCAAGGCGACGAUCCGUAGCUGGUCUGAGAGGACGAUCAGCAAGACUGGGACUGAGACACGGCCCAGACUCCUACGGGAGGCAGCAGUGGGGAAUCUUGCGCUAAUGCGGGAAACCGGGACGCAGCGACGCCGCGUGGGGGAAGAAGGCCUUCGGGUUGUAAACCUCUUUCAGGAGGGACGAAGCUACUCGGGUGAAUAGCCCAGAGGGUGACGGUACCUCCAGAAGAAGCCCCGGCUAACUACGUGCCAGCAGCCGCGGUAACAC